rnacentral:rRNA from 1 species
AGUAUCCAUUGGAGGGCAAGUCUGGUGCCAGCAGCCGCGGUAAUUCCAGCUCCAAUAGCGUAUAUUAAAGUUGUUGCGGUUAAAAAGCUCGUAGUUGGAUUUGUGUCCCACGCUGUCGGUUCAUCGCUCGUCGGUGUCUAACUGGCAUGGUUCGUGGGACGUCCUGCCGGUGGUGGCGAGUCGAAAGCGUGCGGCCGCCGUGGUUAAUCCGCGUGCGGUUCCUGCGCGUCGUAGACGGACCCCGAUGAAAUCCUACCGCGGUGCUCUUCAUCGAGUGUCGAGGUGGGCCGGCACGUUUACUUUGAACAAAUUAGAGUGCUUAAAGCAGGCCGGCUGCGCCUGAAUACUGUGUGCAUGGAAUAAUGGAAUAGGACCUCGGUUCUAUUUUGUUGGUUUUCGGAACCCGAGGUAAUGAUUAAUAGGGACAGGCGGGGGCAUUCGUAUUGCGACGUUAGAGGUGAAAUUCUUGGAUCGUCGCAAGACGGACCGAAGCGAAAGCAUUUGCCAAGUAUGUUUUCAUUAAUCAAGAACGAAAGUUAGAGGUUCGAAGGCGAUCAGAUACCGCCCUAGUUCUAACCAUAAACGAUGCCAGCUAGCGAUCCGCCGAAGUUCCUCCGAUGACUCGGCGGGCAGCUCCCGGGAAACCAAAGCUUUUGGGUUCCGGGGGAAGUAUGGUUGCAAAGCUGAAACUUAAAGGAAUUGACGGAAGGGCACCACCAGGAGUGGAGCCUGCGGCUUAAUUUGACUCAACACGGGAAACCUCACCAGGCCCGGACACCGGAAGGAUUGACAGAUUGAGAGCUCUUUCUGAUUCGGUG